rnacentral:rRNA from 1 species
GACGAGUCUCACGAACGUUAUUCGGAAUUACUGGGCUUAAAGGGUGCGUAGGCGGUGAAGUAAAUCGGGUGUGAAAUACCAUAGCUUAACUAUGGAACUGCACUCGAUACUACUUUGCUAGAGUAAGACAGAGGUGAGUGGAACUGAGGGUGGAGCGGAUGAAAUGCGUUGAUAUCCUCAGGAACACCGGUGGCGAAGGCGACUCACUGGGGUCUUUACUGACGCUGAUGCACGAAAGCUAGGGUAGCAAACGGG